rnacentral:ncRNA from 1 species
UACUGUAUUACCCUGUGGCAGGUCAUUUUCAAUUUCUAGCCACAAUUUUUGUGUAUCAUUUUCCCAAUCCAUAUUUCUUUAUUAUAAAUUGCUUUUAUUUUCCUUUUUCAAACAAAACAAGGUAUAAAUGGUGAAAUAGAAAAAAAGAGAUAGAGAAAGGGGAGAGUGAAAAAGAGAAGGAAUCAAAAGUCGGAGGUUCGAAGACGAUCAGAUACCGUCGUAGUUCCGACCAUAAACAAUGCCAACUAGCGAGCAGCUUCCAGGAAACCAAAGUCUUUGGGUUCCGGGGGGGAGUAUGGUUGCAAAGCUGAAACCCAACCCAUAUUUCUGUGGACCAGUA